AAUAAGUGCAGUUUUAGCACUGUUCAUGUCCAACGUUUGACCGUUCGUCUUAUUUAAAAAAAAGAUUAUGAUUAAUAUUUUUAUUGUUAUUAGAUGAUAAAAUAUGAAUAGUACUUUAUGUGUGACUAAUUUUUUUUAAUAUUUUUUAUAAAUUUUUCAAAUAAGACGGAUGGUCAAAACGCUGAGCACGUAUAUCUAUGGUUGCACUUAUU
rfam:Oryza sativa (indica cultivar-group) chromosome 4, whole genome shotgun sequence.